rnacentral:tRNA from 1 species
AGUCUUGUAUUCAUUUUGUGAUGGUAGAAUGCAAUUCUAAAGGGGUGAGGCAAAGCUCACCAAGGCUU